GAAUCUUCCAGUCUCUGUUUCCAUAGCACCUGACACCAGAUAGUGAGAGACUGGGCAGCUUCUGGGGUAUUUGCACAUACACCAUCAUCAUUUGCACAUACACCAUCAUUUGCACACAUACCAUCAUCAUUUGCACAUACACCAUCAUUUGCACAUACACCAUCAUCACCUGGUAAUGAAUGCCAUUAAGUGAUUGACUCUUGUCUUCAUCCACACAUGGGUGACAUUCAAAAGCCAGAGAUCCCGGCAGGGUCUGCUCACUUCAGCCUCUGCCUGCCCAUCACAGAAAACUGGCUAUGGUAGAUAAUCGUUCUUGCUUGUACAUUUUCCUCAUACGUAGGAACCACUUAAAAGUCAGAAUCCCUUUAAGAGUUGGGAUAUAGGUGACAAUUUGAGAUUUGUUAAUUUUAAAUUAUGAUUCACGUUAUUUCCCAGAACACAAACCCUCAGAAGUCAUUAAGUGCCUUUUUUUUUUCCUGUAGUGUUGCAAGCACAGCAGAAAGAGGGGGAAUGAGAGUGUCUGAGUUAUGCCCAAAUCUAAAUUUCAGGAUUUAUGAGCUGUGUAUCUGCCCAGCUGUGGCCCCAGCUGUUUGUUCCCUGCGUGUUCAUUUGUUCCACCCCAUAAGGUGACAAUGAAGACUAGCAGAGAACACACACACACACACACACACACACACACACACACACACACACUGUGGUCCAGAAAUCUCACCCUCCAUUCUGUCUUUGCUGUCUGCCAGAUGGAUAAUAGGUGUCCAUCAUCUGUCAAGAGAGGACGCUCCCAGGACCACCACACCCACAAACAAGGAGUUGUCUUAUCCCUGAGGGAUUCCUGAGGGCUGACAGGUUGAGGUCUGUGCACUGGUGACCAGAGAACAAGCAUCUCUCCCGAAUGACGUCACUGGGGUUGAACUCUGAGCACGGAUUCUGGGUCAGCUCCCUCUGGUGAUUGCAUCUUUCCAGUUGGCAGGUCCGGGCGCCUCAGAUCGGUCCAGCGUGCUGUUUACUCUCGGUUUUGCUUUGCCAAGGGAAAUCUGAGGACUUGUUAUUCUGCUGUUAAAACAUUAAUUAGUUGCACUUGCAGCAGCAAACAUCAUGUAAGCCCAAAUUAGUACUUUUAAUACCUCCUGGGCUGAUGCAGAGUGGGAGGGAAGCCAAAUCUGGUCGGACAUGCACUUAGGGCUUCCCACCAAACAGCAAGUAGAUGUUGAGUUCAUCAGCAUCUCACUAGGCAGAAGGCUCAGUCUCCAUGGCAGGAGCAUCAAUUGGACUGGAGAGCCAUCGAAACUGGAAGAGUAAAGCUUGCUCAUGUAGCUCAAUGCCUUUCCUUGUAACUCUUG
rnacentral:lncRNA from 1 species